AGAGAGAGACAUGCGCGCAUAUCAAUAAGCGGAGGAAAAGAAACUAACAAGGACUCCCUUAGUAACGGCGAGUGAAGCGGGAAGAGCUCAAAUUUGAAAUCUUCAAGGUUCUACCUUGACGAAUUGUAGUUUAUAGAAGUGUUUUCUGUUAGUGGAGUGGCAAAAGUUCUUUGGAAUAAGACAUCAUAGAGGGUGAGAAUCCCGUAUUUGGUCAUUCCUCCUAGCGUUGUGAUACACUUUCAACGAGUCGGAUUGUUUGGGAAUGCAGUCCAAAAUGGGUGGUAAAUUUCAUCUAAAGCUAAAUAUUGGCGAGAGACCGAUAGCGAACAAGUACCGUGAGGGAAAGAUGAAAAGAACUUUGAAAAGAGAGUUAAACAGUACGUGAAAUUGUCAAAAGGGAAGCGUUUGACACCAGUAUUGUUUUUCCGAAAAUCAAUUACGAAUGUCUUAGUUUUUGAGGAGUUAUGACUUCAUCGGCUUGCUCCUUUCUUUAUGAAACUUUCUUAAUGCACUUUUCGGUUAACAAGUCAACAUCAAUUUCUUUUGUUGUAAAAGGGUAUGAGGAAGGUGGCUUUCUUUUCGGAGAAAGUGUUUAUAGCCUCGUGCCUCUGCAAUCGGAGAGAUUGAGGUCUGCAGCGUAGAUCCUUCGGGGUUAGAUACAGUUUGUGCUAAGUUAUAGCUUUUCAUAGACAACUUGUUGACUAUGUUUAGUCUUGUAGCUUACUCGCUUGACGCUAUUUUACCUACGCUUAGGAUGUUGAUAGUCACAGCGUGUAC
rnacentral:rRNA from 1 species